rnacentral:rRNA from 1 species
AUGCAAGUCGAGCGAAGCUUUUCAGUAGUUUACUACAGAAAAUGACUGAGCGGCGAACGGGUGAGUAACGCGUGAGCAAUCCACCUUAGUUACAGGGAUAGCCCGAGGAAACUCGGAUUAAUACCUGAUAUUCUUUAUAUUUCGCAUGAAAUUAAAAGGAAAGGUCAGCCGAACUAAGAUGAGCUCGCGUUCUAUCAGCUAGUUGGUGAGGUAAAAGCUCACCAAGGCUACGACGGAUAGCUGGUCUGAGAGGACGAUCAGCCACACUGGGACUGAGACACGGCCCAGACUCCUACGGGAGGCUGCAGCAGGGAAUAUUGCGCAAUGAGCGAAAGCUUGACGCAGCGACACCGCGUGUGGGAUGACGGAUCUAGGUUUGUAAACCACUUUCAGGAGGGAAGAAAAUGACGGUACCUCCACAAGAAGCCCCGGCCAACUACGUGCCAGCAGCCGCGGUAAUACGUAGGGGGCGAGCGUUGUCCCGGAUUUAUUGGGCGUAAAGAGCUCGUAGGCGGUUCAACAAGUCGGUCGUGAAAGU